UACGUAGGUGGCAAGCGUUGUCCGGAAUUAUUGGGCGUAAAGCGCGCGCAGGCGGUUCCUUAAGUCUGAUGUGAAAGCCCACGGCUCAACCGUGGAGGGUCAUUGGAAACUGGGGAACUUGAGUGCAGAAGAGGAGAGCGGAAUUCCACGUGUAGCGGUGAAAUGCGUAGAGAUGUGGAGGAACACCAGUGGCGAAGGCGGCUCUCUGGUCUGUAACUGACGCUGAGGCGCGAAAGCGUGGGGAGCGAACAGG
rnacentral:rRNA from 1 species